GGUGCGACGUGGUCGCGAGCAGAUCACUGAAUUGAAAGUGAUUCAAAUCACGCUGCUGCAGCACCCAGACGCAGUCGUGCUUCGACCUUCCGACCGAGUGCAGCAUCACCAACGCCACCAAGAGUAUAAUUGCGAUCGCAUUACGACCUUUCUCUUUCAACUACGAUCACGAUCACGUCACGUGACGAACACGAACAAGGAGGUGUGAUCGAUCGAAGUGAAUUUUGUGAAUCUGAACCCUUCAUCGCACCUGUGCGCACCGCUCCCGGUGAGAUGCUGCUCGUGUUUCUCGUGUGACACUUACCUUCAAUCGUCAUCGUACGCUAUCAUCGUUCCAGUGUGAGAGUGUUUUCGGGUGUCGGUUUGUCCCGAUUUUGUGUGUGGCUGUGCGUGAUUGUGGGCCUUUUGGGACGUUUGCGAAAGGAGCAAAAUGGUGCGUCUAGUGGUUUUGCUGCUGUGCGUGUCGAUGGCGACGACGCAAAAACCGAGUAAUUUCAACUUCAAAGAGAAAGGUUUCAAAAGCAGACCAAAUUACGACAUUGAUCCGCAGGUGUUGGAGAUACAGCGUCAGAACCUGAUCACGCAGAAGAUCCUGCAGCGCUAUCUGGAGCGGCGGUUGCAUCCGCACCGCAAACCCCAAAUCCGGGUACCGUCGGUGGAGGAGAUCCUUCCGAAACCGUUCACUUCGCUGGCGGCCGAACGGAAUGUCCGGCAACAGAACCAAAGCAACAGUGAUGGCACUAGUAGCAGCAGCAGCAGCAGCGGCAGCAGCAGUAACUCCACCGGUGCACGGUACGAUCUGUUCGAUGGUCAGAACGGUCGCCAGUACGAGAACGAUGGCGAUGGCGAGGAUCAGUACGGUGACGAGGACGGCGGUGACUACCGGGAUGAGUCACCGCGGGAUCUGGACCAGUACGAUGAUCUAGGCGAUGGGCUCAACGACAACGAUCGCUACGACAUCGAAUCGCUGCAAUCGGGCGAAUCGGAGCAUGUGGAUUCGUUCUACCGCGACAAGUACUACAACCAUCAGCGCCAGAGAGCAGCAUCUCAGCUCUCGGUGGACGAUUCGGGCGAAUUGCUCGACAGCAAUGACCUAGACAUGGAUUUCGAAGAUGACCCGGAGCUCAGUGUACUGAGUGAGAUUACCAACGAGGUACGGUUGCGUCAGGAAGCAGCAGCAAAAGAAGCGCAGAUUACUAAGGACCUCCAGCGACCGUCGUCUGGCGGUCGCGUGAAACGGCAGGCCAUUAAUAGCCGCACAUCGCGGCGUGGUCGACCCACGGUACGCGAAACGGCUACCAUUACGAAUCGAGUCGACGCACGGUAUUAUACCGCUGAAGAUUACGUCGAUUAUCAAACGACACAGCCACGGUUAAACAAGAAUCUACGGGAUAACUAUUCCGAGUAUCGGUUGCUAUCGAAGAGCCGCAACGUGGCCAUUGAACCGAGCAAACCCACGCGUCCAAGGCCAACCACAGCACAGACUACCCUCGCGCGGAAUGCUGCCCGAUCCCGCAAUCGUAAUACGCUCAAAUCGCUUGCCUAUAAACCGAACGUCUACAAUGCCAACAGCCGCCGGACCACGUUUACACUGUCGGCGUACAACAAACCGACCCAGCGAACUACUCCUAAUGGUCGACGUGGAGGCUCCAACUCCCGGGGUUCGUACAAGGACGAGGAACCGGCACGCAACUGGAACAGGUUUGGUCAAGCGGCCCCUACAACCCAGGACUGGCGUCGGAAGACACUGAGCUUGGGCAGUUCCAACAUUCAACCUAGUACGGCCGCCCUGACCGUGACGUUUUUCCUGCCCACGGACACGACGGUAUCGGUGGUCGCCAACUCGAAAACCGAGAUCAGUUUGAUCAAGACGACGACUACCAGCAUCGAGGAGAUCUGUACCUCCUGCUUCUCGCUGACCCAAGGUCCGAACGGGCUGCCGGUGCACGUGCUCAACAAGGAGAUCACGUCGUUCAACAAUGACGGUCUGUUCGAGAUCACCAAGUUCAUCCUUAGCUCGACCCCUACGACGACCGUGUCGGUGUCGCAGAAUACGUUCCGGGGACGUUCGACUGCCUACACGGCCACUAUCUCUACCACGAUCUACGAGGCGACGCCUUUCGUCCAGACUAAGGGCAAGACGGCCGAUCCGAACUCGGUACUGUCCAAUGCUCCGCUGGCCAACAUACUGUUGUCACAGCUGCUGCUCGGCAAUCUUGGUGGGGUCCCUGAACCCAAUUUCAUCCCGCGACCGACCGAAUUCCUGCCGGAUCCGAACCGCUAUCAGCUGAUAGUGACGACAGCCACGGAUUACAAGACGCACGUGAAGGAAGUCGUCCAAACGGUGACGCAAACGAAAUCCAUCGUCCUACCGGUAACGUUCCAGGGUCGUGAGAUCCUAACGACCGUGUACGAGAGCGAUGUGACCAGUACGGUUAUCACGUCCUUUAUCACGGAAACGCUCACCAUACCGACGACGUCAACCGUGCGCAUCCAACCGACGGCCAAUCCAGCCGAUGAUCUCUCCAACAAGUUAAGUCUUCUGUUGCCUCUGCUCGAGGAACGUGAACGGCAGAACCGGCUGCUGUCGGCCAUCGAACCAUCGUUGCCAGUAGUAGCGACGGCACCGCCGACGCUCAACCCUACGCCAUCGGCCACCAGUGCCGUUUCGAAGGUGUACGUGUCCGGGCAGCAUCCUGGCGAGUUCAGCGUAUCCUUCACCACCAUUUUCAGCACGUAGGGGCCGCCGAUGUUGCUGCUCGACCCUCCUACUCUACCCUCCCUCUCUCUUCACCAAUACUCAACACCUUUUCUAGGAUUAGUCUAGACUAACGUUAAGCCACGACACGCGGCGCCAUCAAAUCGUCCAACUGUACGAAGGAACACACAAUCGGAGCAGCACAAUCGGACGACAUGCAAUCCCGUACACCAGCGGUUACUACCACAUGUCAGGCUCUUUACCAGUGAGAGAUGAAGCUGCGCCGUCUCCUUUUUACGCAUACAGCCGUUCCGUGUUCAGCACGCUCACAUGCAGUGACGUGGUGAUUUUAGCAGCUUGUGUUUUAAUUGUUACAAGUGAUCCCACAUUUUGGGCUCCAUUAUUCCAAAUGCAGCUCUUCGAAGCGGGAUGCUGCGUACGUGACUUGUUCCGCGCUGUCGUCCUUGAAUAAAUUGUACUAAAGCU